UGCGUUGCAGUCGUCCGCGCGUCGAACUGCCGUCUCCAUCUCCGUUCGCGAAGCAAAACCGCCGCCGCUCGCCGAACCCAACCGCCACCCUCUCUUUUCUUCUUCAGAUCUAAACCGUCGCGCCCAUCCGCCUGUAACCGCCGUGCCUCUCCGCUCACAACCGUCGUGCCUCCCUCGGAAAGCAAAUCGUCGUCCAGAUCUGCCUCGCCGUGAACCAUUGGGCUCAUAUUUGGGUACAUCUUGAUUCAGUGAGCGAAUCCUUGAUUUUCCAAAAAGGUUGAAGUGGACUUGAUUUUCCACUUCUUGGGAUUUGAUUCAUUGGACUUAGUAGAUUGAAGAACUUGCAUAAAAGUGAGGCAAAGGAAAUAAAGGUGGCAAACCGGCGAGGGGCAGGAAGGAAGCGUGAAUGCCAUAGGGAAUGUGUUAUUUUGCUUCCGCUUAUGAUUUCUUUUAAGGUUUAACAUGUACUAAAUGUUAGUUUACAAACUUUUAUUUGUAAAUAGUGUUAUUUUUAAGUUCUUGGAAUAUUUGAAAA